AAAAAUGACCUAUGAAAAACAGGUCCUAAUACUGCCAUAUUUCGUUUUAUAUAUCUCUGUGAAGCUGACUCUAGUUUGGUGGAAACCAUUUCUUUUGUGUAUACAACAGUUACAGACAGUAAACACUGAUUGACUUUAAGAAUCAUGACAGUUGUUGUAGUUUUAAAAAUGUGCAUUGUAAGUAACUCUAGAGCCAAGAAUUACCAAAGAAAUUAUAAUCUUCAUAGGUAAGGAUGUCAGUAAAUACAUAUACAUAUUUACUAGUACAUAUACACAUACAGCACUUAACGCUUAUAAGGGUAUGAGGAUUAAAUGAAUUAGAAUAGCAUGUUGUACAUCAUAUUCAACAUGUGUUGGCCAGUAUAUUACUAUUUUCAUUGUGGAGCAAUACAGAAAUGCUUGGACAACUGCUGCUUCUUUGUUAGGUUUAAAGUAUUCAUAUUUUGAUAAUACAUGUGUCAAGUAAAAAUACCUUAACACUUUGCUACAUAUACCAUUUCUUAACAGUACAGAAAAUAUCUGCAGAGGCCACUGAGAGGGGCUAAAAAAACACACACACAAACUUUUCCUCCCAGCUUCCAAAUUCUUAUAGCUGGGUUAAUAAUCAAAUUAAGAGACAGAUUAACAAGAGAAAAUCAAAUUUUAAUACAUGCACAUGGGGAAUUCACAAUAAGCAUAAAAAUUCCAAAGACAGUGAGGCAAAAUUGGGUAUAUAGGUCAUUUUGGACAAAAGAGAAAGGAGGGUAUGGGAGCUUAGAUUUCAAAAGUGAGAAUGGGCCACUUACAAGUGAUUGAGGAAGAGGGAACAUACAAGGCAGCUAAAUUUUUGUUAGGCAACCCCAAAACAAUGACAUGGGGUGGGGGGGUGGUCUAGUAAACAGACCCCUGCUGGACACCUUCCCAUCUACCAUACUCAAUUCAGAGUAGGCUGAUGUGAAUAUGUAAAGAUUUCUUUCCAGGAGUGGGUUUUUCCAUUUGAAUCUCUUAAGGCAGGUAAGGGGGGGAGGGUCAAAGGUUCUUUCUGAAUCUUCUGUUUCUUAAUAACCAAAAAAGUCAAUAUCUCAAACGGCAAAACUUUGGGCCCCUUUCACCACCAAUCAUUUGAAGGAAUUUUCUAUUAGAUGUAAUUCAUUUUCCAAAGUCAUGCUCUCAUUAAAUAACUUUAAUGAACCUGCUGUGAAAAAUCAACAUUUGAAAAGGAAUGACAAAUUCAACUUAUUAAAUUGUGUAAUAGAUUGCUACUUAUGAGAGAAGCUUUGGUGACAUUCAUUCAACAAAUAUUUAAGAAACAUUUACUAUGCACCAGCACUCCUUUUGGCAUUGAUAUAAUUCAAAAAGAAAAUGUACUCUAUACCAGGAAGUAAAUAAAGAAUUUCAUUUCAGCUAGUCACAACGUCUAUGAGUAUAAAAAAUAUAUUAAAAUAAUAGAAUGCAAUCCAGGAGUUGCUAUACUACAUGGUCAGAGAAAGCCUUGAGAAGAUUGAUAUCUGAGCUGACACUUGAGAGACAAUAGCAAUGAAAGAAAAAUAUUAUGGAUAAGUGAUAUUUAUUUUAUAAAAAUAAUUUGAAUAAUUUUAUGGCAAAACAGAUACAUGGUCAACACUUAAAAUAUGACAGUACUAUUAUAGGCACUUGAUAUAUAUUAAAUAUUUAAUCCUCACAACAGCACCGUGGGGUAGGUACUCUUAUUUCCCCUAUUUUAUGGAUGAGACUGAAGAACAGAAAUUCAGUCAUUUGCUCAAGUCAUACAAUGAGUAAGGCAGACAGUUUGAUUCCAGAGAGCAAACUGUUAACCAUGAUGCUUAUACUACUUCCUACACAGUCAAGAUAUUUUCAGCCAUUUACAGCAACUUGGAACUACAACAUAGUCAGCUAGUCUGUUUAGGAAAAAAAAUGAAAUGUCUUUUUAUUCUCAGUAAGAUGAAAUUGUCCUGGAUUCCUCCUCCCAUUUCUUCUUAAAUUCCCUUAUGGUCAUGCCUUGCUUAACCACAGGGAAACGUUCUGAGAAAUGCGUUAAGACGAUUCCAUCGUUGUGGGAAGAUCACAGUGCACCGACACAACCUUCUACACACCUAGGCUAUACAGUGUGGCCUAUUGCUCCUGGGUUACAAACCUGUACAGUGUGUUACUGUGCUGAAUGCUGUAGGCCACUGUAACACAAUGGAUAGAUGCAAGGGAACUUCGCAUGAGGCCCGUGGAGAGGCUACGGAACAGCCUUGCGUGAUUCAUCUUGGAAACGGAUCCUCCAGCUGCCGUCCUGGCCAACAUCUCAACCGUAACCUCAUGAAAGACGCUGAGCCAGAAAUACCCAGCUACAUAUGACGCUCUGAAUUCCUGACCCAUAACUAUCCAAUAAUACAUGUUUUUUAAGCCA